rnacentral:lncRNA from 1 species
UGGAGAGCAGGGAAUACAUUUCAAGUCAGCAGUCAGGGGCCCGCCUAGAGAGCAGGGAAUACAUGUCAGGUUAGCAGUCACGAGCCCGCCUGGAGAGCAGAGAAUACUUUCAAGUUCAGCAAUCAGGAGCCCGCUUGGAGAGUAGGGAAUACAUGUCAAGUUAGCAGCCAGGAGCCCGCCUGGAGAGCAGGGAAUACUUUCAAGUUCAGCAAUCAGGAGCCCGCCUGGAGAGCAGGGAGUACAUUUCAAGUUUAGCAGUCAGGCAUCCACCUGGAGAAAGGAAAAGCAUCUCAGGUUACAAUUCGAGUUCAGCAAUCAGGCGUCCACCUGUAGAAAAGGAAGAUAUCUCAGAUUAUAAGUCAAGGCGGCAGCAAAGGAAUUUAAUCGGGAGAAUACAAGUAAACAAAUCAACAAGAACCACAAGAACAAGUUUGAAGAUGUAUAUAGGAUUUUGUAAUGCAUAGAUUAUAGUCUAGUCUAGCUUCUUUUUAUUUUAUCACGGUGUAAUAAGGGGUUCAGUAAGCAGUAGCAGCAGCAACAACAACAACAGUGAAAUCACAGCUUCAUGGUAGUCCCAGCUACCAAAACUUCCCGAACUACACUGACCUGAUUCCUUUAUAGCCAAGGAUAUGUAGGCAACCUCGAAAGCAGGGUACGGUUAAAUCUUUCAAAAAUGCUUCCCACGGAGUUUUCAAACGGGCAAAAAUCGCUCGUAUCCACUCACUUUAUCUUUGCGCGAAAACUCUUCGUGUUUCCGAGCAAAGAGGGGUAGCUGUGAGCACGUGAUUUUUUCCCUACAUGAAUUACUCCCAUAAAUUCAAAACAAAAUAACUUAUUUUCAUCAUUUGCAAUUUUUGUGGAUUUUGUGGCAUUUUCUGAUAAUUGUUUGCAUUUGUAUGUGCAUGUUUAUUUUAUUUAAUUCAUAAAAAUACAAAAAUACAUUGCAUUUGCAUUUAGGAUCUAAUUUUGCAGUCGUGAAUUAAUUGGUAAUUUAGUGUUUUAUAAAAAAUGGAAAAAAUCACAAAAUAGUUUAUUUUGCACUUUUCAAACUUUGGUAGUUUUCCUCGAAUUUGGUUUUUAAUUAUUUGUGGUAAAUGUUAUUUAGAGUUAAUUAAUGUAAUAGGAUAAUUUGAUUAGUGAUUUUUAUUCUUAAAAAGAAUUUUGGAAAAUAAAAAAAAGGGAAAGAAAAGAAAGGGAAUGGAAAUAAGAAAAGGGCUGUUUUGGGCUAACAUUGCCAAGCCCAAACGUUCCCCCCUUUAACUCGCCCAAUUUUUGGCCCAAACCCUCCCCAAUAUCCGGUCUAGCCCCAUCGCCUAGUCAAAACGACGUUGUUUCGUUAAGCUUGAUCUGAGCCGUUGAUAGUUCCUAAUCCAACGGACAGGAACUGGCUUCCCGUUAGCAUAUAUAUGCCCGAACGGCACCCCCCCCAGUCCAUCCACCCCCCGUCUCUUUUCAACUCAAACCCUAGAGAACCCGUCGCCCUAAUUCCCACCGCCAUUAAUGGCGGCGCCACCUCCGUUCGCCACCAAAUUCACACCCCUGAACCCUCUCACCCCCCUCUCUCCAAAUCUCAACAUAGCUCCCCUCAAAUCCCUCUCAAUCUCGUCGAAUCUUAAAUCUAAAGUCAGAGUUCGAAGCCCUAAAAAGCCAAAAUUGUUCUGCCUUUGAUUCCGUGGCUUGAAUGACCACGAGCAUCCAAGUUUUCAAGAUUUUCGAAGUCUAGUUUGGAAUAAGAAGUGUUGAUCGUUUGUUCUUAACAAAGAACAAGCGGUUAACACCGAUUGUGUUAAAUUAAAGGUCCAAUAUUGGGUUCGAGUGUGAAUCAGUAAGUGUUCUUAAUUUUUAUUUCUUGCCCUUAUAUGCCGUUUCAUCUUCCUACUCCUUUCUUCUUGGUCUUCCCGUUCUGUGGAUGUUUGAAAAGUAGAUAGAAGUUUAGACCUAGUUUUUUUUUUUGAAUAAUUUAGUGUUCGUACUUUCUCCAUCAGAUUUUCGGUCAUCUCUUUUCAGGUUUUAAAUACUGUUCUUUGCUCGUUUUGUUAUUUAUGACAUUUUUGAUAAUUAGCUUAAUUUAGGCUUUGUUGAUUCAGUAAUUUGAUUAACUCCGGCUAAGUAUUUAGUUUUAAAAGAAAUCAAUUGCUUGGUUAGAUUUCGAUUGUUUGAAGUCAUUUAAUUUAGCUAAAUGGGUUUCUGAGUUUUGUUCGGGCCUUAAGUUCAAUUAUGGCCAUCUCAUUUGGGUUUGAACCAUUGGGUCAAAGUUGACCAUGCCCGUUUUGGUUUCAAGGGAAAUAAUCAGGGUUCGAGGGGUAGAUUAGGAAAUUGGGGAAGGGAAUAUUUCUGUAACUACCUGGGGAAGCUUCUAGGAAGCUGGUGUUAGGGUUAGUUGUGAAUUUCUGGUUUUUAACUAGGGAUGUCUAAGCUAUAAUGAAAAUUCCAAAAGGGACAAAAUGCAAAAACUGAGUCUUAGGGGUUGCCCUAAUGCCUUGCCUUUAAAGGCACCUUUACUUGGCAUUGAAGGGACGCUUUUGGAAGAGAAAAUUCCCUAAAAACUAAAACGGCUAGCUCAAAAGAAGAACAUUGAAUUCCCUACUUUUCUUAGUAAAACUGGUCCAAAAUUGAGUCCUGAUUUCUAUUUUUCUCAAAUCCUUUUGUUUAUCUAUAAUUUCUGAAAAGUCAUAAAUACUUAUCUAGGUCGAAGAUGGUCUGAUUCUGGGUUUUAAAACUGGUUUUGAGUUGCUGUGAGGUUACUGUUCCAUUGUUACUGCUGGGCACUGUUUUGCUGCUUUUCUACUGCUUCCUCACUUCUUUUUCCUUUAAUUUCUAGGUAUAUAUCUCUGAUUAAAGCCAUGUAAGAUGGUUGAUCGGAUCGUGAAGAAAUAAAGGCCUUCUUUUCUUACUAGCUAUCUUUUGUCUUUAUUUUUGUUCCACUGGAUUUGCUUAGUUUAAUUUCCUGGGUGUAGUAUGUUUAAAGUAGAGUUACACUUUGAAUUUUGAGGUUACAUUAAAAAUUGUAAUUGAACCUCGUUUGGCAUGUAUUGGUUUUCAGUUUGUUUUGGAUUCUGGUUUCAUGAGUUGGAUUGAAGGCAUGUUGUUCAGCUUUUCUCUAGUUUUGGCUAUACAUUUCGAUUUUACAUUACGUGAUAACAACUUUGUGUAGAAUCAAACAUCAUGACUAGUGUAGGAUAUGUAGUCUAUUGUGAUGUGUAUUGUCUUGCUCAGAAUUAGCUGCACUUUGAAAUAUGGUCGUAAACUCAUGUUGAGAGUAGUGGAUUUGCCUAUCAGUGUUGAUUAAAUUGAGGCAUCAAUAAGUUUAAGGUUGAUAUCUUGUGAAAUGAGACUUCAAAUCUUGCAAGUUGAGGCCUGGUUUAUUGUUAUGAAGAAAGGGUUAAACAUAUGUUGUUUGCUUCUAAGAAGACUCGAUAUUGAGUCUUAAGCCUCCAGCAAUUGACCUUAAAAUCUGUCUUGGGCUCGUUUGGGCCCAAUGUUUAUUUUCCUUGUGAUGUGGCCUUGUGAGGCCAAGGCAAACGUGGGUCCAAGGUGCAGACAUAACCAGAAAUGCAAUUUUAGUUGCUCUAUGUUUCAAUAAUCAAAGAAGCAAAAAUAUUACUUUAAUCAUGUGCUCAAUAUAGCUUUAGCUGAUUGGUAUUCAAUAAAUUGUGUACGAUUCUGAGUUCUUAUGUGUGAUUUGGCGUUGAAACUUGCAGCUGGGCCUUUAGCAUUGGCUCCUUUCGAUGCGCUGCCAAUUUCGUUCAAGCUUAGACUUUUGUUUCCAAUGUGCAAAAAUGACAAAUGUGAUUUGGGCCUGCUUUUGAUUAGGCUUUAUGUUAACGAAACGUUGAUCCAUUUUGUUGAUCCUUAAAGGUUGAAUUAUUUGUUUUCCUAGAGGGAAUUCAAAUCACCUUAGACCUUUAGUUAACUAACUAGACCCUUUAAAAUGGGUUGAGGCACGCCCUAUUAGCCAAAAUGUAUAACUUAUGGCCUUCAAUAUUUUGUUCAAUCUUAGACAAAUAGAUUGGAGGUGUGCCAUGCCGAACAAAACCUUAAGUUGCAUGGCCUUAGUUUAAUUAAUAAAUCCUUAGAAACCAAGGCGUGCCACUUAGCAAAUUUUCCGUGGCCCUCGCAAAGUUGCAAACACGUAGCUGUUUUAGGCGCGUUAUUUUAAUAAAUUACGUUCUUAAAUUUGGGUGCGCAUUUAUGUGACCCAAAUCCAAAUCUCAAUAAUGUUAGAUAAAAUAUGUCGAGAGCCGCGGGUGCAUUUAUGUGACGUGGUUCAAGACAUAUUUUAAGUGACGUUGCAAUUUUUCCUUAAAAAUAAUUAAAAACGGUUGUAAAGUUAAAAUUGAACCAUAGGCUAAAACAUGUAUUAAAAUCAAGUAAAUAGGCCAAAUACAACAGUUGAGCGACCGUGCUAGAACCACGGAACUCGGGAAUGCCUAAUACCUUCUCCCGGGUUAACAGAAUUCCUUACCCGGAUUUCUGUGUUCGUAGACUGUAAUACAGAGUCAAUCUUUUCCUCGAUUCGGGAUUCAACCGGUGACUUGGGACUCCAUAAAUUAUCCCAAGAGGCGAAUCUGAAUUUUUAAUAAAUUAAUCUCAUUUCGAUUGUCACUUAAAUUGGAAAAACUCCCUUAUACCCUUACGGGGUGUAGGAAAAAGGAGGUGUGACAGGGUUGAUUUGGGGGCUCAUUGGUAGACCCAAUAAGGAUGUGUAUUCUACACCAGGUCGGAUUAGUUGACUCUAUACUGCUAUUGUUGAGGGAUGUGCCAUUCGCUUAGAGUUGAGCUUAUUCGUUUUAUGAUAUGAUCUAUGUGUUACUCCUCUAUAAUACGAGGGGUUGUGAUUUAUUGGUUAUAUGCACACAUGGUCCAGUUCUGUUUGGGUCUUGUAGCAAAUUCGAGCGAAAUGGUUAUUGAGGUGUGGGAUAGUUGAUUGCGCCUUGGUUAUGGCCUUUUCCGGUUGUGGUAUAUUGUAUUUUUUGCUUCUUCAUGGUUAUGGCCAGGCACUUUAUGUACUUGAUGUCAAAUUGCAUGUGGUUGUUGAAUUGGAGCAUUGUGGCUUAAGGUAUUGCAUACGGACCAGUAUUUGGAUGGGGUCACACAUUGCAGCGGAGUCAUGUUGAGAUAUAUCCUUUGUGUUAGAUUCGCAUGUUUUGGCUCUAUAGCGUGUGAUUGGUUCUGAGCAGUGCAAUGUGAUGGUAUUUUUUGAGCUUACGGGACGGUUCCCUCGUUUGAGUCAUUUUUCCAUGAUUGAGUACAUUUGAAUUAGUUCUUAUUGGUACACAGAUUGCACAAUUUAUGAUUCUAGGUAGUAUUGGGUGGCAUGUCAAUAGAAUAGUUGUGCUUGAUGAGGUAAGGUCAUUGGACCUAGAAUGGAUACUAUCAGAUUUGAUUACAGUAUGUUUGGAGGGUUAAUAUCGAGAGACGACUUAGAAAUUUGGCUUUGGUUCUUGCCGGACGAGAGAGGGCCCCAUUACUUGUUGAUCUGAUAAGUGGUUAUGAGUUUCAGUGUGUUUCUUUCAUCAUUGGCAGCGUACAAAGGUUCAGAACAAGAUUUGGGUUGAUAUGAGGUUUGUUGCCGGUGUCGGGUUGGUUAUCGAGCAGCUAUUGCAGUCAGAAGUUAUUGCUAUGAGUAUUUGAAUUAUGUGGUAUAUCAUGUGAUUUUGUCUUGGGUCAUGGUUAUGGCUUGGUGCAGCUUGUUCAAACUUAUACAGUGUGUAGAUGUGAGAUUCGGGUCUUGUAGGAAUUUCGGGUGUUGUAAAUUGGAUUCUAAGGUUAUGAGGUAGGUUGAAGUAAUGAUCUUCAGUUGUGUUGUACCUAUGUGGAAUAAGGUGACGUGGUAUCACCCCCGGGUAUGUGCAUGGUAAUGUUACGGCGGUUUGAUGGCUUUAGAACGACUCUUGGAACGCUCGAGGAUAAACGUAUGUUUAAGUGGGGGAGAAUAUAAUGACCCGACUGGUCGUUUUAAGCAUUUGCACUUUGCUCGGUGUUUUGAUGCCAUGAGUAGCUUCGUAUGUUGUAUUACAACUUGUGUGUAUCGUCGAUUCGGUUUUCGGGUGAUUCGUAAUUAGUUUGGAAGAAUGAAUUUCAUUGUUGAAGUUUUAAAGUUGGAAGAGUUGACCAAGUUUGACUUUUUAGUAUUUGACCUCGGAUUGCAGAUUUGAUGGUUUCGUUAUGUCAGGAUGGUGAUUUAGGACUUGGGCAUAUGCCCGGAUUUGCAUUUGGAUAUUUCUAGAAGGAUUCGACGUUAAUUGGCGAAAGUUGAAAAUUUGAAGGUUUGGAAAGUUAAUAAGUUUGACCAAGAGUUGACUUUGAGGGUAUCAGAUUCGAAUUGUGGUUCCGGUAAUUGGAAUAGCUUUGUUAUGUCAUUCGAGACUUGUGUGAAAAAUUUGAGCUCAUUCCGGGUUGAUUUGAUAUGUUUAGGCACGAGUUUUAGAAGUUGAAAGAUUCAAAGUUUAUUGCAUUUAAUUCGAGACACGAUUCGUUGUUUCGAUGUUGUUAUGCAUGAUUUGAGGUCUCGAGUAAGUUAGUGUUAUGUUAUGGGACUUAUGGGAAUGUUCUUGCAUGGCCCCGAAGGGCUCGGACGUGUUUUAGAUCGAAUUUGGAUCAUUUUCCUUUAUUUGGCAUUGCUGGUUUUGUUGAGCAUCUGAUUUCCUUGUUCGCGAUCGCGUAGAGUUAAUCGCGAUCAUGUAGAGUUUUUUUAUGGCUGGGUAAAGGUUGUUCAUUGUGUCCAUGAGUCCUCAGACACGUUCGCGUAGGUUGCUACAGAUGAGCAUCGCGCUCGCGCAAGUGUGCACGCGUUCGCGUAGUGAUUUGGGCUGAGCUGGGCAGAGGCUGGUUUCCCCUUCACGUUCGCAUUGAUUUUGUUGCGAUCUCAUAGUUCAGAUGCAUGUGGUCAUCGUGUUCGCAUGGCCAGUUACGUGAUCGCCGUUGGGUAUUUGUUGGGAGGUAGUGAUGGUUGUUCUUCGCGUUAGCGAAGGUUGCUCCGUGAUCGCGGAGAGUAAUUCUAGUCAGUGCAUUUUUCUUCUUCGUGAUCGCGAUUCAUUAAUUCGCCCAGUGAUUAUAAAGUACUCUAUUUCAGAUGUUUCUACCAUUUUUGCAUAUUUGGAGCUAUGGAGCUCGGGUUGAGGCGAUUUUUGAAGCGAUCUUCACCACAUGGAUUGGGGUAAAUGUUCUCUACUUAGUUUUGAUUUUAUUUCAUGAAUCUAUCUUUGUUUUUGGUAUUUUAUUGAAGAUUUCAAGAGAGAAAUUGGGGGUUUGUCUAAAAUUUUAUAGAGUGAAUUUUUGAGUUUUGAACAUCGAUUCGGAGUGGAAUUUGAGUGAAACUAGUAUGGUUGGACUCGUAAUUGAAUGGGUUGUCGAAUUCUGUGAGUUUUGUUGGGUUCUGAGGUGCGGUCCCGGGUUUGACUUUUUGGUUAACUUUGGGGUUCGAUUAAAAUUUUGUCGGGUUCUGAGGUGCGAAAAUCAUGCUUCUGCCAGUGUGUCUGGCAUGUUAUACAAAUGUAUACUUGAACUAUUAUUGAUGGGUACAGACCUUUAAUGUGUUGCAUAGAAACCUUUUAAGUGUUUGAAUGACAUGAUCAAAAAUUUAGUUUCAAAUGACUCAUAACAACAUGUUUACACUUUGAAAGUUAAGAUUAUGAUAUAUUUAGCUAGAAAGUAUGUGGUUAUAAAAUGUAUAGACUUAUGGAAGUGUUAUCCAAGAGCGCAAAUACAUGUGCAAAUAAUUGUGUUUCGUCACAUGCACAUCACGUGUGGCCAUUUUUAGGGCUUACUAAUGAUUCCAUUAGGGGUGUGCAUUCGAUUUAUCGAUUUGAUUUUGACUCUUAUCGAUAAUUACUUAUCGAUUAUCGAUUUGUACAUAUGCUUAUCGUUAUCGUUUCAAUAAGGUUUCGAUUUAUCAAUUUUUGGGGCUUAUCGAUUCAGUUAUCGAUUACACCAAUAAGAAAAUUUACGGGAUUUCAAGGAAAGUAUAUCGCUAUAAACACGCCUAAGAACAUCUACUUUCAUCAACCACUUGAUCAAUUUUAUCAUUUUCAGCCAUGUGAAGUAAAUGAAGAAUGUAACUUACAGUCUUAAACGAGUUGAAUAAAGCAAAGCAAGACGAAGUCAGUACUCCUCGCUCUUGACCUAAAAAUUAUGGCUGCAAAUCCAGGAAAUAUCAAUAACAGCAAAAAAGAACUGGUCAAUUGUCUGUAUGUUAAAAUGUAAUACCCGUUAAAAAGAAAAGUCACAACACACAAACACUUGUAGUUUGUACUGAAGUGCCAGCAUAGAUACAAUAAGAGAGAGACUAUGGAUUACCUGGGUGAGCGGAUUCUGUGGCCAAACCCAGUGGUGACUCUUUGUACAUUUAUAUUUAUAUAAAGUGAAAGAAGUAACAUAAAGUGGGGCAGACUUCUUUUUGACAUACUAAUCAUUUCUAUACAUCUGUAGUUCUUGCCUUCUUGGAACAUGAUUAGGCCUUUUCAUAAUUAUCCUUUUUCAUUUCUUAUAAUAUAAUACUAUUGUGAGUUGUUUAAUCCUUACCAAUUUUAGUUACUAUUAUAAACCAGCUGAUGAAAACAGAGCUUGAAUUGCAGAGCUACUAUAACUUUUUGAACCACAGUGGAUGAAAAUUGCAGGCAUCUAACUUGAAUUAUCUUUUUUGGAUGUCCAUUAUUAGUUGGAAUCUGAAGCUAGUUCAAGAUACAACAGGACACGUUUUCUGAAAAAUAAACGUGGAAGUAGAAAUUAUAUAGCACAAAAUAGCAUGAAAGAAACCAAACAAAAAGAUAAUCAAAUCACUGAAAAGAGAGCAGGUAAGUGAGAUUUUCAUGUACCCGUGAAAGAAGAACCAAAAGCGGCGUUGAAGAGUGAAGAAUAAGGGUAAAGAAAAUAAUAGGGUUAGGGAGUUAGGUAAAGGAAAGGGUAUUAUAGAAUAAGGGUAUAUUUGUCUUUUUAGUAUACCUUAUCGGUUUAUCGAUAAACCGAUUACCGAAGAGGACAAAAUCGAAAUCGAAAUCGAUAAAUCGAUAAG